UACGUAGGGGGCGAGCGUUGUCCGGAAUGAUUGGGCGUAAAGGGCGUGUAGGCGGUUGAGUAAGUCUGGAGUGAAAGUCCUGUUUUCAAGAUGGGAAUUGCUUUGGAUACUGCUUGACUUGAGUGCAGGAGAGGUUAUCGGAAUUCCCGGUGUAGCGGUGAAAUGCGUAGAGAUCGGGAGGAACACCAGUGGCGAAGGCGGGUAACUGGACUGCAACUGACGCUGAGGCGCGAAAGUGUGGGGAGCAA
rnacentral:rRNA from 1 species